GUGAGGAAUUUUCCGCAAUGGGCGAAAGCCUGACGGAGCAAUGCCGCGUGAAGGAUGAAGGCCUAUGGGUUGUAAACUUCUUUUCUCAGAAAAGAAUUAUGACGGUAUCUGAGGAAUAAGCAUCGGCUAACUCUGUGCCAGCAGCCGCGGUAAGACAGAGGAUGCAAGCGUUAUCCGGAAUGAUUGGGCGUAAAGCGUCUGUAGGUUGUUUAAAAAGUAUUCUGUCAAAGAUUAGGGCUUAACCCUAGAUAGGCAGAAUAAACUUUUAAGCUAGAGUUUGGUAGAGGCAGAGGGAAUUCCCGGUGGAGCGGUGAAAUGCGUAGAUAUCGGGAGGAACACCAAAGGCGAAGGCACUCUGCUGGGCCAAUACUAACACUGAGAGACGAAAGCGAGGGGAGCAAAUGGGAUCAGAUACCCUAGUAGUCC
rnacentral:rRNA from 1 species